rnacentral:rRNA from 1 species
GCGGGCAUCUAACGAGGAGCAAAGAUUCAUCGGUAAGGGAUGGGGAUGCGUCUGAUUAGCCAGUUGGCGGGGUAACGGCCCACCAAGGCGACGAUCAGUAGGGGUUCUGAGAGGAAGGUCCCCCACAUUGGUACUGAGACACGGACCAAACUCCUACGGGAGGCAGCAGUGAGGAAUAUUGGUCAAUGGACGCGAGUCUGAACCAGCCAAGUAGCGUGCAGGAUGACUGCCCUAUGGGUUGUAAACUGCUUUUAUGCGGGAAUAAAGUCAGGUACGUGUACCUGUUUGUAUGUACCGCAUGAAUAAGGACCGGCUAAUUCCGUGCC